UACGUAGGGUGCGAGCGUUGUCCGGAAUUAUUGGGCGUAAAGAGCUUGUAGGCGGUUUGUCGCGUCUGCCCGUGAAAAUUCGAGGCUCAACCUCGAACUUGCGGUGGGUACGGGCAGACUAGAGUGUGGUAGGGGAGACUGGAAUUCCUGGUGUAGCAGUGAAAUGCGUAGAGAUCAGUGAGGAAGACCGUGGCGGAAGGCGGGUCUCUGGACAGUUCCUGACACUGGAGGCACGGAAGGCCAGGGGAGCAAACGGG
rnacentral:rRNA from 1 species